rnacentral:rRNA from 1 species
UACGGAGGGAGCUAGCGUUGUUCGGAAUUACUGGGCGUAAAGCGCGCGUAGGCGGCCCGGUAAGUCCGCUGUGAAAGUCGGGGGCUCAACCCUCGGAUGCCGGUGGAUACUGUCGGGCUAGAGUGCGGAAGAGGCGAGUGGAAUUCCUGGUGUAGCGGUGAAAUGCGCAGAUAUCAGGAGGAACACCAAUUGCGAAGGCAGCUCGCUGGGACGUGACUGACGCUGAGACGCGAAAGCGUGGGGAGCAAACAGG